AAAAAAAAUAAAACAGAUCUAAUUUCAUGAAAAUGCUGUUGCCAUAAUGCUCAGGAGAACAGGGGGAAGAGAGAGAUUCAAGUCUUCCUAAUGUCUACCUUAUAUGCAGAACCACUGGAAUAUCCCACAAGGCCUUCUGCUAUGUAAGAGCACUCUGUUUUUAGAGUAUUUGGAAAUGCUGUUUUCUGAACCAAGGGAACCCAGAUACUAGAACUAAAACAACUGUGGAAAAGAGAAGAAGGAAAAAAACCCACUUUAUUGGCUGACCUGAACUCCCUGAGUUCUACUUUGUAGAGCCUUGGAAAGAUGAGCAAAUGCUCUGUGACAAGCCACCAGGGCAGAUUGGUACUGUGAAGACCCUACUAUACAUUUGGCUCUGUCCCUGGCUGGAAAGUUACAAGUCAGUCUACCCCUCUGUGGUCCAGUUUCCACACCUACUACUCUUUAUCCCAUGAGGAACUUCUGGAAACUAAAAAAGCAACCAUUACCUUCAAGAUAGAGAAGAGCAGAAGAUGAGAAAUUGGGAACUUUCAUAUUUACGAGACCAGUGGUUCACCCAGGAAUGGAUACUUUGCACAAUUUUGGCCAGUGAGGUGAAGUCUGGAACUUCUGGAGUAGUGUUUCCAGCCCUUAAGAAAAUGGAAAUAAGAAAAAUACAAUUUUUCUGUCUCUAAAUGUCACCGUGUGAGGAUAUGAUACUGGGAGCAGCCAUCUUGUGAUCUUGAAGCAAAGAUGGUUGACAUCAUUGAGCUCCUGACUGAACUUUCCUGGAAUUCCCUGGUGCCUAGACUUCCUGUCGGAGUAUCAAGCCACACAUCUAAAUCUCCAUGUCUCUAAUUCUCAAGAACUUUUAAGUCUGACAAUAUUUGUAGUAAAGAAUUUGGUCUGAUCCAUGGCGCAAAGGAUCUGAAGUGUGAAGUAAGACCUGGUUAGCUCUUUUAAUUACACUCUUCCUUCUGCUCUAUGUAUAGCUUUUUAGGCUUGGAGCCAGCUAUGCUAAAACUGCAGAAGGUGGUUCCAGGCUUAAGGGACUAGCAGACAAAAAAUGUUCUGAUGAGGUGAAAAGUUUGGUGUGGUUCUAGAAACUGUUAAAAGCCAAAUAAACUUGAGGUUAGUUUUAUAAGAGUUCAAAGGCAUGAGAUGUGUUUGAAAAGUUAGGUAGGAACCAGAUCAUGAAGAGUUUUGAAAGCCAUAGAGAGACUUGAGAUUUUAUUCCAACCACAAUGGAAAGCCACUGGAAACUUUUGAACAACGGAGUUACUUGUAAUCUAAUUUAUAUCUUUAAAAGGCAUCUCUGGCCAUUGUGAGGAGGAGAAUGGUCUGUGAGGGGCAGGAGUAUGAAGGAAGACUAGUUAGAGAAGGAUAGCGAAGGUCCAGGCAGGAGAUGCCAGUGGCCUGGAUGAGAGUGGUGUCAAAAAAGAUGAUGAUGCAUAAAAUUUGAAGAUCCAGACAACAGAAUUUGCUGAUAGAUUAGACACUGCUUGGGAGAGAGAGAGAACUGAAUGACUCCAGAUAUUUGACCUGAGCAACUUGGUGAACAGUGGUGCCUUUAACAGAGAGGGGAUGUAUUAGAGGAAGAAGAGCCAAUAUGAUUAAAACAAAGACUCCAGGUUUGGUUUUAGACACGCUUGCCUGAGAUUUUUGCUACAUCAAAGUGGAAAUGUUAGGUAACUAGUUAUGCAUGUGAAUCUGGAGCUCUGGCUAGAGACAUAAAUGCAGAGCCAUCAGCGUAUACAUGUGGGGAUAUGCGGCCUAUAAAGCCGUGGGAACAAAAGCAAUCACCAAGCAAGUGAGUGAAUACAUAGAAAAAAAGGGAUCCAAAGGCUAAGCCUAGUGAGACGCCAAUCUUUGGAGGUUGAGAAGAUGAGGGGGAAGGAGCAACGGAGACUGACAGGGAAAGACCAGUACAAUUGAAGCAGAACUAGUGUGGUGCCCUGGGAGCCAGAUUUAGAAACACUUUAUAAAGUGUUUAGAAAGUUUAGAAAUACUCUAAAAAGUGUUUCAAGAAUUGUGUCAAUCUCUUCUUUAGCUCCUGUAAUUUUUUGGCUUUAUCUCAAAUGGGCAGAUUAUUGGCAAGUGCAAAAAAAAAAAAAAAAAAAAAAAUGUUUUUCUCUGUUUCAAUACCAAGACUAGUUUUAGAGGUAGGCUUUUCUUUUGUAUUUUCUGACAGAUACUGCCUUUUCCUUGUGUGAUUAGUUUUCUCAAGAUGCCACAUGGACAUGCUUCCCCUUCGCACAUACAAUGCAGCCGCAUCAUAUGCACAUGUGACUCACGUGAUUCCAACUCUAUGCACUUGAGUAAAAGAACAUGACAAUGUCGUAGGUGAUACCACCUGCCACUCAAUGCAUAUGCCCAAGAAUAGAGAAAUAGAUGAGAACCUGAUGUUCUUCUGGGGUUAUGCCCACAAAACAAUACUUUCUGAACCUAUGGAUGGAUUGUGAGAUUUUUAAAGAUAUUUUAAUUGUACAUAACAUUUGCCUUAUAUGCUGAAUCUAGUCUUAUGUUAGAUAUUAUUCCACCCUACCUAAGCUGGAAUGUGGUGCAAGCUGCCCAGUUUUAAGUUUGUCCACACAAAGGAUAUGUGGAAUGUUCUUAACUCUGGUCCACUUGGGUCCUGGCAGGUCACUCUCAUAUCUGUUUACUCAUUAUCCAGCACUUGGGCAUCUUCUGGGAUCUGUAUGACUGAGGUGGGGUUUUCUUCUUCCAACCCUCAAUUUCCUUGCCACAUUAGAUUUCAUGAGCUUUCUCUUGGUCCUUUACAUAUUCAGAACAUCUAUGUUGGUGGUUACUGUCUCAUACACAAAACUAUUUUAUAGGAGUUCUGUCUUCUUCCUCAACAACAGUAUUUGUAUUGAAAUGACCACUUAGUCCAAGACAGUACUGUUAGUGGAUCUAGUGGAUCUUUUUGAUUAGUUAGUUUGUUGUAUUUUUAUUUUUAUUUUUUUGAAAACUGACAUCAAACAGCUCUAGUUAUUUCUAGUUUUAGCAGCAAAACAAAUAAUGCUUUUUGGGGAAAAAAUACUUAGCCGUUUAAAUAUGUAAUAUGAGGUGAGCACACCAUGAUCUUCUUGUGAACAUAGCAAGUUGCUGAGGCACAAUUUUCCCAGGUGGAUAAAGCUGGGCACUGCCUCUCUCCUCUGCAUCUAUUUGUAGCAACAGAUUUCUAUUAAGGGUCAAAUAGCCAUCUAGAAGGAAAGAAAUGAAAGCUUUGAGGUUCUGGGUUAUUAGAGGAUAUCUGAUAUCAUGGCAUUGUUCUGGAUGAGGCCAACAGAUGAGACAAGGGGCUCCCAGGCGAGUUGGAUUUAGGCUUAACGCCAGGGUCUUAUUGUUGGUAGGGUGAGCUCUUUCUGGCAAAGCAGUUUCUGUAACCUCCCCCAUCCCCCGAACCAGUGUCCAGGCACCAUGAUAAGCCCUGGAGAAAAUGUCUGUGUCUGAGUAUAAAGUGAUAGAAUUGUAUCUUGGAAUUUGGGCUGGGUGUGGUGUGAAGCACCCAUAGAUGAGAAUAAACCUGAAUGGAAAAGCAGUUUCUUCCUCACCCUGGAUUCAGAAGUAAGGCCAGGUGCUCUUCAGUGCCUUGGAGCUUGCAGCCUUGCCCUAGAAUAUUCGCCUGCUGACCACACCAGGCAGUGGCAAAAGCAGUAGAGAAAGCACUCCCUCAGGGGAAGUGGCCAGACUUCCCAGUUUCCUCCUCUGCAAAGGGUUAUUAAUCACUACGGGUCCCCUUCCACUUAGAAUGCAUUUGAAGCACCUGCAGAGGGAGAGCCUUCUCGCAAUCAGUGGAACAAAGGCUUUGAGUCAAUAGGAUUUGGACACCAGAAGAAAGGAGACAUUAUUUUGCACCACAUGCUGGUGAAGUGGGUCUUAUCUUCACUGGAAUUUUUUUGUAAAAUUUGGAGACUGCCCAUCAAGAAAGCUUCCUUGUGAACCCAAAGGUAGUGAUAUUUUCCUUAACAAUGAGGGGGUAGAACUUAUGGGAAGCAGAAUGCAAUUAAAACUCAUAUCCGAUAUUCUACUGCUCAACUGAUGUCUUAUUAAAAAUGUGUGCUUGUGGCCAAGGAAGUAGGAGGUGCGCUCUCAGCUGUCAGGCAGAGAAGAGAGAGCCGUGCCCUGGAUCCAUGUUUAAAGGCCUGCACACUCAGAUCCCCAGUCCAUGAGGAGGGAGCCGUUUACAUCCUCUUCCCACAUGACAAUCAAAAUCACACCACAGACUUCAUUUUUCUCACUUCUCCUACACAAGGGCUCAUGGUUGGGCAUAAGAUAAUGAGGACAGGCUCUGUCACCCACAGUGUGGCAAGAUAAGAUGUAGCAUAGUCAGAAGAAAUUAUUUUAGGGCCCCCUCCCCCAGAAUUUUCACUGGUGACUCAAUUCAUCCUUUAUGUGGCUAAAUGGGUGAUAUCAGAUAUAGGAUCCUCAGAUGCCCUGAGUUUUAAUUCUGGCUCUACCACUGACUUCAUUUCUGUAAUAGGUAUACUAUCAAAUGUCUCCAUGCCUCUGUCUCCUUGAAGGGAACACUCACUUCACCAAAUUAUAAGGAACGCCAAAUUAUUGUGAAGUCCUCUGUCAAGUCUAGUUGAGAUUUGUAUCAUUCUUCAACCUGUCCAGCAUCAGCCCCUCUGGUGUUUUAGGAACUGUGGCUCUCCAUCAGUUAAGAAUUACCAAGACAUAAUUGCAGGAAUGUUUUAAAAUAUUACUCAUUUUUAGUAGCAUUUCAGUAGCAUUUAUAAUUACGGCUGCUAAAUCUUUCUUGGCAUUCAUUGUGUUAAACCUCGACGGCUCUACCAAGUAAUGGGUUUUGGAGUUGGCCAGUAAAACUCAUCCAAUAUCUCAUAAGUUCUCACUGUAUUUAAUUCUGUCCUCAGGAAGACAGAAUGAUUAAUCUUGAAGACAUCAAUUGUAUGUUUCACAUAGGAACUGAAAAAUGCUUAGUGACAAUGAAGAUAAUAGAAAAUCUAAGUCACAAAAGAAUGAACAGUGGGCUAAUGGCAUUCAACUACAGGAGAAGAAGAAGGAGAGAACAAGAAGAAGAGGAGGAGAAAAAGGAGGGGAAAGAAGAGGAGGGGGAGGAGGGAAGGGGAGGGAGAGGAAGAACUAAGGAACACACAGGAACUAAGCAGUUACUCUGUGGACCAACAGUAAAUUCGAAGGUCGAAUACAGAAUAUUUUCCUUCUCCUUGUGCCUCUAUUUGCUUAUCUGGUAAACAGGGAUAAUAGCUCAAAUCACCUGCACUUAGCAGAGAUUUAUAUCUUUGCAGAAUUUAUAACUAUUGUUAGUAUUCACUCACUAACUACAAUGCUGUAAGUGCUCAUUAGGCGUGUAUAUAUAUACACAUAGCUUUCCAGAAAAAUAAAAUGCCUUCAUUUCUUCCUAAAUGAUUCAACCUAUAGAAUACAUCUUUUUUUGGGUUAUAUUUUGUUUGUCUACAGUGAAGUUAGAAAUGUUUAUGAAUUACAGUAAUGUCAGAAUUUUUAAAAACAGAAACCUCUUUAUCGUAGUAUUUACAUAUAGGAUUAUUAACUCCAAUAACUUCAUGAAGAAUUGGUACAUAAAGAUUUAUGAGUUAAAUAUUAAAAUUCCAUGCAGUCACUAAAUAUUCCCAAAGAAAUGGAAAUAUCUGGGAAGUAUACAACCAUGUUUUUUGGCCUUUUUUUGAAUAUAAAAGAGGUGGUUUAAAUGACCAUUAAAUUACAUUCCCAGAGAGUUUGUGUACAAAUCAAAUGAUAACAGAUUAUACAUUGACUGGUGCAAAUUGCUUCCUAAAGUGAAUAUUAAUAUAGGGUCACAAUUCUUGAACCAUAAACCAUGUGGGCCAUACUUCGGGAUUUGUUGUACUUUUUUGAAUGGUAAUGUGAGCACAAACUUUGCAUUGUGUAACACCCCCAUCAGGAGUUGGGGGAAGCAUUCAAACACAUUAAAUUUUCUUCAGUAAAAUGUGAAAAUAUUCACACUAAGUGAGAUAAACACUGUUAAAUUAGUUCACAUAAUUUGAUUACUUAAAUCAAAUAAUUUUUUAAAAAGUUUGCAGACUUGUAUUUUCUUUCUCAGAUUUGUGGAUGAUUGUGCACCUGUAUUCUUUAAAGUGUUUGGGAUGCUCUGCAGUCACCUGUGGGGAAGUCUUUGAAAAUGUAAUGGACACCUGUGGGAGGAUAUAAUAUCAAAUAUAAAUAAUAGCUGUGGGCUCACAUUUUCAGGAAUUCACCAAAUAUGUAAGUCAAUGAUAUUUUUGUCUUGGUUCCCAGGUUUGAAAGUAAUUAAAUUUCCAAUACUACCUAGCUAGUGUAGUAGGUAAGGAGAAAAGAAAGUUGAGGAUGGUACUUCAGACACAGGGACAAGGAAUCCACAACAGAGAGUGAAAAGAACCUGCUAGAAAGAUGGGGGGAUAAAUCACCUGAGUAUGCAUCAGUCUGAGCAAAUAAUCUUUUUUUUUUUUUUUUUUUUUUUUUUUUUGGUAAUA